CUGGAUUAUCUACUCAACAUAUGGAAUUGACUCUCAAGCUUUCAAGUUAUUGAUCGGACAGCUGGUCUUUCUAACAAAGCUGGUAUAAGCAUCUUUAAACACCAAGAAAAUGUAUAUGAAGAAAGGAAUUGUAUUUACAUAAUGGUUUUGUCAAGAGUAGAAAUCCAAAGAAGAUAUCGAGAGAGAAAGAAAUCAGAGUCGGGAGCAUUCUUGAAAAAGGAUAGAGAUCGAAAACGAAAAGCGUACAUACCAACUUCUGAACUAGAUGAAAAAAGUGCUAAGAAAAGAAGGGAACAAACUUUAGAAAGAAUUAAACGUCACAAUCACAUUGGAGUAGUUACUGAUAUUGAUAAAUCAAAGGAGAAGACAAAGAUUCACUUUAUGGAAGAAUCAGGGAAAAUUGGAGAUAGUUUUCGCUGAUCUAACAAGAGAGAUGAAAUAUGGAUUUCUAAUCAGGAUAUCAUUACUACAAUACCUGAACCAUAUCCAUCUGGGAAAACUAAGAGACAGUUUAAGUUGGCCAAAGAAAUAAUUGAUCUAAAUUAAAACGCUUUAUGAAAAGAAGCUUCUUGAGAUAAACUUGAAAUAAUAGUGUAAAACGUGGUCAGUCAUGACGAUUUUUAAAUAUGGUAGUCAUUUAUUAACCUCCGUUACCAAACACAGUUGAACUUGGCAGCACUAAACAUACUACAUGGAAUGUUUAUAUGUUUCUAUAUAAGCAGGAACUUUUAAUUUUAAUAUGCAGCUGCUUUAAGUGACAGUGAUUUAGAUUGCUAUAUAUGAAAAUGGAGAUUUUUAUCAGUCUUCGUCAUUAUUGUUUGUUUGGUCAGCCUUUUAAAAUAAAAAUAGUUUCUCUCUA